UUGCAUAAGGAUUUGUCAUAGUUAUUACCGCAUACAUCCUUGUAAGAUCUUUGCAUAAGGUGUAGCUUUAUUUCUUAUGGAACAGUUUAAGUUUUAAGAGUCAGGAGUUGUCUUACUUUUCAUAACAGACAAGGUAGUGUGAAUACUGAGUUGUGAUCAGUUUACCUAAUUGAUCGUGUACAUUUUCUUUAUCUGAACCAGGUCUUGAUAAUGUAUCUUAUUGUUGAGUUUACGGAGGAGAGAAACACUAGCAUAGUUGCCAAGUCCUGGGUUGAUGAUGGAGUGGCAUGGUGACCUCCUUACAAAGGGCAUGCCCGUUUAAACCGCUGCAUCAGGAAUAUGGAGGUGCCAGAUUCCGAGCAAGGGUGGAAGCUGUACAAUGUCUGUGUACUGUAUGAAACUGCUUCUUUUGAGAAAGCACAUGAAAAAUUGGCUUUGUCGUGUGACACUUCGGAUUUAAACUCUGAUGCAGACCUGGAUCAGAUUGUAAAACGCAAACCCAAACUGAACAGAAGGUGGUCUUCAUCUGAAUAAUCAUCUGAUGGGGAUGAACCACUGCAAAGGAUCUUGAGCAAAGACCAAAGGAAGAACAAAGCACUGCGAAACAUUGAGCCUGCACCUGAAUGUCCUCCAUUACCUGCUCCCAGACCCAAAACUCUUGUGCCAAAGAAGACCACUAACACACCACAAGAGACACCAAAAAGGAUGCGGCUAGAGGGUACUCCUCCACAAGCUUUGGACGCACCGCAGCAUGUGACACCUUCAAGUAAGGCAGUUGAAAUGUAAUUUGCUUGUGGAGUUUACAAGAAAACAAACACUCAUGUUUAAAAUAAGUGAAAAGCUUAUUUUUGCAA